rnacentral:rRNA from 1 species
GAUGAACGCUGGCGGCGUGCCUAACACAUGCAAGUCGAGCGAUCUUCUUCGGAAGAGAGCGGCGGACGGGUGAGUAACGCGUGGGUAACCUGCCCUGUACACACGGAUAACAUACCGAAAGGUAUGCUAAUAUGAGAUAAUAUGCUUUUAUCGCAUGGUAGAAGUAUCAAAGCUCCGGCGGUACAGGAUGGACCCGCGUCUGAUUAGCUAGUUGGUAAGGUAAUGGCUUACCAAGGCGACGAUCAGCAGCCGACCUGAGAGGGUGAUCGGCCACAGUGGAACUGAGACACGGUCCAAACUCCGGCGGGGGGCAGCAGUGGGGAAUAUUGCACAAUGGGCGAAAGCCUGAUGCAGCAACGCCGCGUGAGCGAUGAAGGCCUUCGGGUCGUAAAGCUCUGUCCUCAAGGAAGAUAAUGACGGUACUUGAGGAGGAAGCCCCGGCUAACUACGUGCCAGCAGCCGCAGUAA